rnacentral:rRNA from 1 species
ACUAGCAGUAGUGAAUCAUCGAAUCUUUGAACGCAAUUUGCACCUCGUGGCUUUUGUCACGGGGUAUACUUGUUUGAGUAUCCGAAACAACCUCACCUCCCCCUCGGGCGAAGUGGACGUGAGAUUCGAUGUGUGCGCGACCCUCACGGCCGUGCGAGUCGUCUCUUUAAAUGCGUGUGGCUGACUGUGGAAGGUCUCCGUUGGAGGCUGGCAGACCAUUGGGAUAACAUCCUGACGAUCGUCUGUCCGUCUCUCUGCGACGUUGACUGACCGAGCCGUACUUGGAAAGGGCUGGAUCUCUGGAUCUUGGUACCGCUCCACGGUGGGUGUGUGCUGCGUGUGUGUCUCGCGCUGAUGCGUGGGGUGCUGCGGAGGACCGCCGACCAGUGCAAUGGAUCUCAAAUCAAGUAAGGGUACCCGCUGAACUUAAGCAUAUCAAUAAGCGGAGG